AAAUUGAAGAGUUUGAUCAUGGCUCAGAUUGAACGCUGGCGGCAGGCCUAACACAUGCAAGUCGAACGGUAACAGGAAGCAGCUUGCUGCUUUGCUGACGAGUGGCGGACGGGUGAGUAAUGUCUGGGAAACUGCCUGAUGGAGGGGGAUAACUACUGGAAACGGUGGCUAAUACCGCAUAACGUCGCAAGACCAAAGAGGGGGACCUUCGGGCCUCUUGCCAUCAGAUGUGCCCAGAUGGGAUUAGCUUGUUGGUGAGGUAACGGCUCACCAAGGCGACGAUCCCUAGCUGGUCUGAGAGGAUGACCAGCCACACUGGAACUGAGACACGGUCCAGACUCCUACGGGAGGCAGCAGUGGGGAAUAUUGCACAAUGGGCGCAAGCCUGAUGCAGCCAUGCCGCGUGUAUGAAGAAGGCCUUCGGGUUGUAAAGUACUUUCAGCGGGGAGGAAGGUGUUGUGGUUAAUAACCGCAGCAAUUGACGUUACCCGCAGAAGAAGCACCGGCUAACUCCGUGCCAGCAGCCGCGGUAAUACGGAAGGUGCAAGCGUUAAUCGGAAUUACUGGGCGUAAAGCGCACGCAGGCGGUCUGUCAAGUCGGAUGUGAAAUCCCCGGGCUCAACCUGGGAACUGCAUUCGAAACUGGCAGGCUUGAGUCUUGUAGAGGGGGGUAGAAUUCCAGGUGUAGCGGUGAAAUGCGUAGAGAUCUGGAGGAAUACCGGUGGCGAAGGCGGCCCCCUGGACAAAGACUGACGCUCAGGUGCGAAAGCGUGGGGAGCAAACAGGAUUAGAUACCCUGGUAGUCCACGCCGUAAACGAUGUCUACUUGGAGGUUGUGCCCUUGAGGCGUGGCUUCCGGAGCUAACGCGUUAAGUAGACCGCCUGGGGAGUACGGCCGCAAGGUUAAAACUCAAAUGAAUUGACGGGGGCCCGCACAAGCGGUGGAGCAUGUGGUUUAAUUCGAUGCAACGCGAAGAACCUUACCUGGUCUUGACAUCCACAGAACUUUCCAGAGAUGGACUGGUGCCUUCGGGAACUGUGAGACAGGUGCUGCAUGGCUGUCGUCAGCUCGUGUUGUGAAAUGUUGGGUUAAGUCCCGCAACGAGCGCAACCCUUAUCCUUUGUUGCCAGCGAUUAGGUCGGGAACUCAAAGGAGACUGCCAGUGAUAAAACUGGAGGAAGGUGGGGAUGACGUCAAGUCAUCAUGGCCCUUACGACCAGGCUACACACGUGCUACAAUGGCGCAUACAAAGAGAAGCGACCUCGCGAGAGCAAGCGGACCUCAUAAAGUGCGUCGUAGUCCGGAUUGGAGUCUGCAACUCGACUCAUGAAGUCGGAAUCGCUAGUAAUCGUGGAUCAGAAUGCCACGGUGGAAUACGUUCCCGGGCCUUGUACAGCACCGCCCGUCACACCAUGGGAGUGGGGUUACAAAAGAAGUAGGUAGCUUAACCUUCGGGAGGGCGCUUACCACUUUGUGAUUCAUGAACUGGGGUGAAGUCGUAACAAGGUAAACCGUAGGGGAACCUGCGGUUGGAUCACCUCCUUACCUUAAAGAA
rnacentral:rRNA from 1 species